UACGUAGGGUGCAAGCGUUGUCCGGAAUUAUUGGGCGUAAAGAGCUCGUAGGCGGUCUGUCGCGUCGGAUGUGAAAACCCGGGGCUUAACCCCGGGCCUGCAUUCGAUACGGGCAGACUCGAGUGUGGUAGGGGAGACUGGAACUCCUGGUGUAGCGGUGAAAUGCGCAGAUAUCAGGAGGAACACCGGUGGCGAAGGCGGGUCUCUGGGCCGAUACUGACGCCGAGGAGCGAAAGCGUGGGGAGCGAACAGG
rnacentral:rRNA from 1 species